rnacentral:rRNA from 1 species
UACGUAGGCAGCGAGCGUUGUUCGGAAUUACUGGGCGUAAAGCGUGUGUAGGCGGCCACGUAAGUCGGAUGUGAAAGCCCCAGGCUCAACCUGGGAAGUGCACUCGAUACUGCGUGGCUUGAGUAUCGGAGAGGUUGGUGGAAUUCUCGGUGUAGAGGUGAAAUGCGUAGAGAUCGGGAGGAACACCUGUGGCGAAGGCGGCCGGCUGGGGGUGCCCUGACGCUGAGGCGCGAAAGCCAGGGGAGCGAACGGG